rnacentral:rRNA from 1 species
GACGAACGCUGGCGGCGUGCUUAACACAUGCAAGUCGAACGGAAAGGCCUCUUUCGGGGGGUACUCGAGUGGCGAACGGGUGAGUAACACGUGAGUAACCUGCCCUUGACUUUGGGAUAACUUCAGGAAACUGGGGCUAAUACCGGAUAGGAGCUCCUGCUGCAUGGUGGGGGUUGGAAAGUUUCGGCGGUUGGGGAUGGACUCGCGGCUUAUCAGCUUGUUGGUGGGGUAGUGGCUUACCAAGGCUUUGACGGGUAGCCGGCCUGAGAGGGUGACCGGCCACAUUGGGACUGAGAUACGGCCCAGACUCCUACGGGAGGCAGCAGUGGGGAAUAUUGCACAAUGGGUGGAAGCCUGAUGCAGCAACGCCGUGUGCGGGAUGACGGCCUUCGGAUUGUAAACCGCUUUCGCUCAUGACGAAGCUUUGUGUGACGGUAGUGGGUAAAGAAGCACCGGCUAACUACGUG